rnacentral:rRNA from 1 species
UACGACGGUGGCUAGCGUUGCUCGGAAUCACUGGGCGUAAAGCGCACGUAGGCGGAUUGCUACGUCAGGGGUGAAAUCCUGGAGCUCAACUCCAGAACUGCCUUUGAUACUGGCGAUCUCGAGUCCGGGAGAGGUGAGUGGAACUGCGAGUGUAGAGGUGAAAUUCGUAGAUAUUCGCAAGAACACCAGUGGCGAAGGCGGCUCACUGGCCCGGUACUGACGCUGAGGUGCGAAAGCGUGGGGAGCAAACAGG